rnacentral:rRNA from 1 species
CGAAAGCCUGACGGAGCAAGACCGCGUGGGGGAUGAAGGUUUGUGGAUUGUAAACCCCUUUUGACAGGGAAGAAGUUCUGACGGUACCUGUCGAAUCAGCCUCGGCUAACUCCGUGCCAGCAGCCGCGGUAAUACGGAGGAGGCAAGCGUUAUCCGGAAUUAUUGGGCGUAAAGCGUCCGUAGGUGGUUCAGUAAGUCUGCUGUUAAAGCGCGGGGCUUAACUCCGUAUAGGCAGUGGAAACUACUGGACUAGAGUGUGGUAGGGGUAGAGGGAAUUCCCAGUGUAGCGGUGAAAUGCGUAGAUAUUGGGAAGAACACCGGUGGCGAAGGCGCUCUACUGGGCCAUAACUGACACUGAUGGACGAAAGCU